rnacentral:rRNA from 1 species
UUGGAGGGCAAGUCUGGUGCCAGCAGCCGCGGUAAUUCCAGCUCCAAUAGCGUAUAUUAAAGUUGUUGCAGUUAAAAAGCUCGUAGUUGAAUUUCGGGGUCAGUAGGUUGGUCAUGCCACUGGUAUGUACUGGUCUCACUGAUCCCUCCUUCCUGAUGAACUGUAAUGCCAUUAAUUUGGUGUUGCAGGGAAUCUGGACUGUUACUUUGAAAAAAUUAGAGUGUUUAAAGCAGGCUAACGCCUGAAUACAUUAGCAUGGAAUAAUGAAAUAGGACGUUCGAUCCUAUUUUGUUGGUUUCUAGGAUUGACGUAAUGAUUAAUAGGGAUAGUCGGGGGCAUUAGUAUUCAAUUGUCAGAGGUGAAAUUCUUGGAUUUAUUGAAGACUAACUACUGCGAAAGCAUUUGCCAAGGAUGUUUUCAUUAAUCAAGAACGAAAGUUAGGGGAUCGAAGACGAUCAGAUACCGUCGUAGUCUUAACCAUAAACUAUGCCGACUAGGGAUCGGAUGAUGUUAAUUUUUUAAUGACUCGUUCGGCGCCUUACGGGAAAC